rnacentral:rRNA from 1 species
AUGAACGCUAGCUACAGGCUUAACACAUGCAAGUCGAGGGGCAGCAUUUUAGUUUGCUUGCAAACUGAAGAUGGCGACCGGCGCACGGGUGAGUAACACGUAUCCAACCUGCCGAUAACUCCGGAAUAGCCUUUCGAAAGAAAGAUUAAUACCGGAUAGUAUACGAAUAUCGCAUGAUAUUUUUAUUAAAGAAUUUCGGUUAUCGAUGGGGAUGCGUUCCAUUAGUUUGUUGGCGGGGUAACGGCCCACCAAGACUACGAUGGAUAGGGGUUCUGAGAGGAAGGUCCCCCACAUUGGAACUGAGACACGGUCCAAACUCCUACGGGAGGCAGCAGUGAGGAAUAUUGGUCAAUGGGCGAGAGCCUGAACCAGCCAAGUAGCGUGAAGGAUGAAGGCUCUAUGGGUCGUAAACUUCUUUUAUAUGGGAAUAAAGUUUUCCACGUGUGGAAUUUUGUAUGUACCAUAUGAAUAAGGAUCGGCUAACUCCGUGCCAGCAGCCGCGGUAAUACGGAGGAUCCGAGCGUUAUCCGGAUUUAUUGGGUUUAAAGGGAGCGUAGGUGGAUUGUUAAGUCAGUUGUGAAAGUUUGCGGCUCAACCGUAAAAUUGCAGUUGAAACUGGGAGUCUUGAGUACAGUAGAGGUGGGCGGAAUUCGUGGUGUAGCGGUGAAAUGCUUAGAUAUCACGAAGAACUCCGAUUGCGAAGGCAGCUCACUAGACUGUCACUGACACUGAUGCUCGAAAGUGUGGGUAUCAAACAGGAUUAGAUACCCUGGUAGUCCACACAGUAAACGAUGAAUACUCGCUGUUUGCGAUAUACAGUAAGCGGCCAAGCGAAAGCAUUAAGUAUUCCACCUGGGGAGUACGCCGGCAACGGUGAAACUCAAAGGAAUUGACGGGGGCCCGCACAAGCGGAGGAACAUGUGGUUUAAUUCGAUGAUACGCGAGGAACCUUACCCGGGCUUAAAUUGCAACAGAAUAUAUUGGAAACAGUAUAGCCGUAAGGCUGUUGUGAAGGUGCUGCAUGGUUGUCGUCAGCUCGUGCCGUGAGGUGUCGGCUUAAGUGCCAUAACGAGCGCAACCCUUAUCUUUAGUUACUAACAGGUCAUGCUGAGGACUCUAGAGAGACUGCCGUCGUAAGAUGUGAGGAAGGUGGGGAUGACGUCAAAUCAGCACGGCCCUUACGUCCGGGGCUACACACGUGUUACAAUGGGGGGUACAGAAGGCGGCUACCUGGUGACAGGAUGCUAAUCCCAAAAACCUCUCUCAGUUCGGAUCGAAGUCUGCAACCCGACUUCGUGAAGCUGGAUUCGCUAGUAAUCGCGCAUCAGCCAUGGCGCGGUGAAUACGUUCCCGGGCCCUGUACACACCGCCCGUCAAGCCAUGAAAGCCGGGGGUACCUGAAGUACGUAACCGCAAGGAGCGUCCUAGGGUAAAACUGGUAAUUGGGGCU